AUUGAACGCUGGCGGCAGGCUUAACACAUGCAAGUCGAGCGGGGUGAUGGUGCUUGCACUAUCACUUAGCGGCGGACGGGUGAGUAAUGCUUAGGAAUCUGCCUAUUAGUGGGGGACAACAUCUCGAAAGGGAUGCUAAUACCGCAUACGUCCUACGGGAGAAAGCAGGGGAUCACUUGUGACCUUGCGCUAAUAGAUGAGCCUAAGUCGGAUUAGCUAGUUGGUGGGUAAAGGCCUACCAAGGCGACGAUCUGUAGCGGGUCUGAGAGGAUGAUCCGCCACACUGGGACUGAGACACGGCCUAGACUCCUACGGGAGGCAGCAGUGGGGAAUAUUGGACAAUGGGGGGAACCCUGAUCCAGCCAUGCCGCGUGUGUGAGGAAGGCCUUAUGGUUGUAAAGCACUUUAAGCGAGGAGGAGGCUCUUUUGGUUAAUACCCAAGGUGAGUGGACGUUACUCGCAGAAUAAGCACCGGCUAACUCUGUGCCAGCCGCCGCAGUAA
rnacentral:rRNA from 1 species